rnacentral:rRNA from 1 species
CUACGGGUUGCUGCAGUGGGGAAUAUUGCACAAUGGAGGAAACUCUGAUGCAGCAACGCCGCGUGGAGGAUGACACUUUUCGGAGCGUAAACUCCUUUUAUAUAGGAAGAAGAUGACGGUACUAUAUGAAUAAGCGCCGGCUAGACUCCGUGCCAGCAGCCGCGGUAAUACGGAGGGCGCAAGCGUUACUCGGAAUCACUGGGCGUAAAGAGCGUGUAGGCGGAUUAAAAAGUCAGAAGUGAAAUCCUAUAGCUUAACUAUAGAACUGCUUCUGAAACUCUUAAUCUAGAAUAUGGGAGAGGUAGAUGGAAUUUCUGGUGUAGGGGUAAAAUCCGUAGAGAUCAGAAGGAAUACCGAUUGCGAAGGCGAUCUACUAGAACAUUAUUGACGCUGAGACGCGAAAGCGUGGGGAGCAAACAGGAUUAGAUACCCCCGUAGUC